CUGAUGGAGUGGAGGAAGCUUUCUUUAUCUGAACGGGAUUUAAAGCUCAUUAUUACAUCUCUUGCUGAGUCUGGGUUAUUGCGUGGGUGUCCCGGUAGACGGAAUAGGCUGUCUAGAGUCAGUCCUUUGGCCUGUUUGGGCGGUAGGACAGCCAGGAGCAGCCUCUUAAUAAAGUGUGGUAGUUUGUCUGCGGUUAUAUUGUCAGGGAUCCCCCUCAACUUUAGGCUCCUCUGUCUUGCCAUAUCCUCCAGCUGUCUCACUCGUACGUUUAACUGUGUGCAUGUGGCUACCAGCUCCUGUGUCUGCUUAGCUAUGUCGUCCUGUUGGGCCUUCAGGUCCCAAACCUCUUCUUCCGUGGCCCUUAUUCGGUCUGUAAGAGUGUCCAGCUCAAUCUAAAGACCUGCUAGUUCUGCUGUGAAGAAGGCCUUAAGGUCAGUCACCAUGCCUGAUAGAUCAACCUUAGUAGCCAGUGG